UGCAGUCGAACGAAGUAGCAAUACUUAGGGGCGAACGGGUGAGUAAUAUGUGGGAAUCUACCUUUCGGUCCGGAAUAACAUGAGGAAACUUGUGCUAAUACCGGAUAAGCCUUUACAGGGAAAGCUUUAUGCUCCGAUUGAUGAGUCCACACUUGAUUAGUUAGUUGGUGAGGUAAUGGCUCACCAAGACAAUGAUCAAUAGCUGAUUUGAGAGGAUGAUCAGCCACAUUGGGACUGAGACACGGCCCAAACUCCUACGGGAGGCAGCAGUGGGGAAUCUUGCACAAUGGGGGAAACCCUGAUGCAGCGAUGCCGCGUGAGUGAAGAAGGCCCUUGGGUUGUAAAGCUCUUUCGUCGGGGAAGAAAAUGACUGUACCCGAAUAAGAAGGUCCGGCUAACUUCGUGCCAGCAGCCGCGGUAAUACGAAGGGACCUAGCGUAGUUCGGAAUUACUGGGCUUAAAGAGCACGUAGGUGGUUAAAAAAGUUGGUGGUGAAAUCCCAGAGCUUAACUCUGGAACUGCCAUCAAAACUCUUUAGCUAGAGUAUGAUAGAGGAAAGUAGAAUUUCUAGUGUAGAGGUGAAAUUCGUAGAUAUUAGAAAGAAUACCAAUUGCGAAGGCAGCUUUCUGGAUCAUUACUGACACUGAGGUGCGAAAGCAUGGGUAGCGAAGAGGAUUAGAUACCCUCGUAAUCCAUGCCGUAAACGAUGUGUGCUAGACGUUGGAAAUUUAUUUUCAGUGUCGCAGCGAAAGCAUUAAGCACACCGCCUGGGGAG
rnacentral:rRNA from 1 species